rnacentral:rRNA from 1 species
UGGGGAAUUUUGGACAAUUGGGCGAAAGCCUGAUCCAGCAAUGCCGCGUGUGUGAAGAAGGGCCUUCGGGUUGUAAAGCACUUUUGUCCGGAAAGAAAUCCUUGGCUCUAAUACAGUCGGGGGAUGACGGUACCGGAAGAAUAAGCACCGGCUAACUACGUGCCAGCAGCCGCGGUAAUACGUAGGGUGCAAGCGUUAAUCGGAAUUACUGGGCGUAAAGCGUGCGCAGGCGGUUUGCUAAGACCGAUGUGAAAUCCCCGGGCUCAACCUGGGAACUGCAUUGGUGACUGGCAGGCUAGAGUAUGGCAGAGGGGGGUAGAAUUCCACGUGUAGCAGUGAAAUGCGUAGAGAUGUGGAGGAAUACCGAUGGCGAAGGCAG